rnacentral:rRNA from 1 species
AGAACGAACGCUGGCGGCAUGCUUAACACAUGCAAGUCGAACGAGACCUUCGGGUCUAGUGGCGCACGGGUGCGUAACGCGUGGGAAUCUGCCCUUUGCUACGGAAUAACUCGGAGAAAUCCGUGCUAAUACCGUAUGAUGUCGUAAGACCAAAGAUUUAUCGGCAAAGGAUGAGCCCGCGUAAGAUUAGCUUGUUGGUGUGGUAAAGGCGCACCAAGGCGACGAUCCUUAGCUGGUCUGAGAGGAUGAUCAGCCACGACUGGGACUGAGACACGGCCCAGACCUCCGUACGGGAGGCAGCGAGU